CUCUGCUUAGCUCAUAAUGGAAGGGUAUUCCUCAUAGGAAGUUNCUUGUUGAUGUGCUCAGCAUUAUGNAGGCAAUUAAUAGCAACUGGGUAGGAACAACAGCUUGCAAACAUAUGGGAAAAUGCUACUGCUCAUCAUGAGAGACCAUUUCAGAGUUGGAAGUAUCUUUAGUUCUAUGAUGGGUGUUUUUUCCCUUUGCAGAAUGGUGGUGUCUUAACAUUACUUAAAAUAUUUACUAGAACAGUCAUUUAACAGGUGGCUGCUGUACUGGAUCCAACAGGAGAUAUUGGCUGCACUCUCGUACCUACUGAGCUCAACAGGAUUCCUUUUGAGUAGACAACUAUAGACUUCUGGAUGAACCGCUGUGAAUAUUACGUUUCUUUCUUUCUCCAGGGUUACUGAGCAAAACCUAAAUAGAGGCAAAACAGUUCAGCCCUAAAAAGAUGGAGGAUUCUGCUUUGGAAAGCGAUUGUGUUAAAGGUGCCUACGGCCAUAGAUUCCUUUGGCUAAAAGGAGGUUUUGAUUUUUUUUUUCUUUUUUACAAUACUUUGCUUUGAACAACUGGGAACGGAGACAAAAAUUGCACAAACAGGAUAUGCCA
rnacentral:lncRNA from 1 species